AGCUCAUGAUGAAGGCAUAACCUCAACAUCUCUUUAAAUCACUCUCAUGCUUCGUAGAGGAAUUCUCCAUACUCAUGAAUAAAACUAAUAAUUUGGUUUCUUAGUU